rnacentral:rRNA from 1 species
CCUACGGGAGGCAGCAGUGGGGAAUAUUGGACAAUGGGCGAAAGCCUGAUCCAGCCAUGCCGCGUGUGUGAAGAAGGCCUUCGGGUUGUAAAGCACUUUCAGUGAGGAAGAAAGCCUUGGGGUUAAUACCCUCGAGGGAGGGCAUCACUCACAGAAGAAGCACCGGCUAACUCCGUGCCAGCAGCCGCGGUAAU